rnacentral:rRNA from 1 species
AUUGAACGCUGGCGGAAUGCUUUACACAUGCAAGUCGAACGGCAGCACGGACUUCGGUCUGGUGGCGAGUGGCGAACGGGUGAGUAAUGUAUCGGAACGUGCCCAGUCGUGGGGGAUAACGUAGUGAAAAUUACGCUAAUACCGCAUACGAUCUAUGGAUGAAAGCGGGGGAUCGCAAGACCUCGCGCGAUUGGAGCGGCCGAUAUCAGAUUAGGUAGUUGGUGGGGUAAAGGACCACCAAGCCAACGAUCUGUAGCUGGUCUGAGAGGCCGACCAGCCACACUGGAACUGAGACACGGACCAGACGCCGACGGGAGGCAGCAGUGGGGAAUUUUGGACAAUGGGCGAAAGCCUGAUCCAGCCAUUCCGCGUGCAGGAUGAAGGCCCUCGGGUUGUAAACUGCUUUUGUACAGAACGAAAAGGUUUCUACUAAUACUAGGAGCUCAUGACGGUACUGUAAGAAUAAGCACCGGCUAACUACGUGCCAGCAGCCGCCGUAA